ensembl:lncRNA
CAGGAAGUAUGACAAAAUAACAAUACUUGUCUUGGAAUAAACAUGCCAGAAUUUCUGUGUUCUCAACCAGCAGUACCCUUGAAGAAGGAAUAACUUAACCAGUCACUGCUCAAAAUCUCUUUGGAAACUGCCUUCAGAAACGGAAUUUCCUAAAUGGUGACAGAUCUUUUCCUUGGACGGCAGAUUCUGUUUACAAAAGCGCCUCCCAGAAGUUUGGGUCCAGAGCUGGGGUGAUGGGACUGAGUGCCUCUGCUGGUGUGAACUGGUGUGGCGCACACCUGGUCUCAAGGUGACACCAAAAUGGCGACACAGGCUGUUGGUCAAGGGUCCAGGCUGAAUGGGCAGGACUUGCGCCAUCUUGGUUAUAAAAUCAUUUGACCCUCACCCUGCUAACCUCACCCUCUCCUUUCGAUUCCCCAUCUCCAAAGCAUCCCCAAGAUUAUGCCACUCUUAUUAAAGAAGCAAAAAUAAAUGCUGGUUAAAGGAGUGACCAUUGGCUUGUGAGUCACAUGAAAACACUCCUGGGCUGAAGGAGCGUGCUUUACUUUACUCCUGCUCAUACCAAAAUAUUUUUCUUAAGAAUACCCUUUUAAAAGGAAUUAAUUUGUAGAACUUAAAAUGACACGCAAAUGAGUGCUGAAAGCACUUAAAAGCUCAGAUUCAUUUUGUUCAGAUAGAUGAGCAAAGAACGAGAUUGAAUGCAGCAGAGUUAAAUUCAGACACAGAAGGAAGCUCCCCAUGGACCUGAAUUCUGGGGAGGGUCCUCCACUGUUGUUCCAUGUGCUGAAUUAACACCAGAUUUCCGAAAACAAGGCAGAACGCCAAGAAUCAAGGAAAGGAAAAGAAAGACUACAGGUGACAUCGGGAACACAAAGAGCCACCUACAGGCAGCUGUCCACAGCAUGUAUAUUUCAUGGUGGUGGUUUGGGUGCAGUGGUUUCGCGUGCUGAACUGGACUCUGACAGCACCAGCUCAGCAGUGUCUUCCCUGAUGGGGACAAGGAGCAGCCUGUG